rnacentral:rRNA from 1 species
GACGAACGCUGGCGGCGUGCCUAAUACAUGCAAGUCGAGCGAAGUUUUUCUGGUGCUUGCACUAGAAAAACUUAGCGGCGAACGGGUGAGUAACACGUAAAGAACCUGCCUCAUAGACUGGGACAACUAUUGGAAACGAUAGCUAAUACCGGAUAACAGUAUUUCUCGCAUGAGAGAUAUUUUAAAGUUGGUUAUGCUAACACUAUGAGAUGGCUUUGCGGUGCAUUAGCUAGUUGGUGGGGUAAAGGCCCACCAAGGCGACGAUGCAUAGCCGACCUGAGAGGGUGAUCGGCCACACUGGGACUGAGACACGGCCCAGACUCCUACGGGAGGCAGCAGUAGGGAAUCUUCCGCAAUGGGCGAAAGCCUGACGGAGCAACGCCGCGUGAGUGAAGAAGGAUUUCGGUUCGUAAAGCUCUGUUGUUAGGGAAGAAUGGAUAUGUAGUAACUAUACAUGUAAGAGACGGUACCUAACCAGAAAGCCACGGCUAACUACGUG